rnacentral:rRNA from 1 species
GACGGAGGAUGCAAGCGUUAAUCGGAAUUACUGGGCGUAAAGCGUGCGCAGGCGGUUUCGUAAGUCUGUCGUGAAAUCCCCGGGCUUAACCUGGGAAUGGCGAUGGAGACUGCGAGGCUAGAGUUUGGCAGAGGGGGGUAGAAUUCCACGUGUAGCAGUGAAAUGCGUAGAGAUGUGGAGGAACACCGAUGGCGAAGGCAGCCCCCUGGGUCAAAACUGACGCUCAUGCACGAAAGCGUGGGGAGCAAACAGG